ensembl:lncRNA
CUAAAAAGGAAAACUUACUUUCAGGUGUUCAGCAGUACUGCAUAGAUCCAGGCUUAUAGUAAGGUGAUCAUUUCCUUAUUUUCAAUUAUUUGAGGAUAUAAAAACAAAACAAAUACCAUUAUUGAUUAUGUGUUGUAUACAGGCCAGAACUGUACAUAGUGAAGUGGCCAAGACAGACAGUGUUCAUGGCCAUGGUCAAGCAGGCCCUGACCAAGCUUCACGGAAGCAGGAAAGGUCUAGCCAGGUGGAUGGAACAUAAUGUCCCAUAACAUAUAGAAACUGGCAAGUGGGAACAGGUGGUUUCUUAGCAAGUCAUAGGCCUCAUGCUAGUCUAAAGGAGGUAAAAAAUAUAUUGACAGGCAGGUGGAACAAAAUAAUGAAAUGUCCAAAGAGAAGCUUGUUUAUGGUUCUCAGAAGCCUGCUUUCUUGAGUGAGAUUGGGGUGGGGCUGAUGGCAAAAGUGAUCUGAUGCACAAGCUCAUGACAGUUAUCUUGUCAGAAAAGGGGACUAAUUCCAGAGUUCAGAAUAGGAAAGGAAAUACACACAGUGGUCAUGAAUAUAGCUUUAGGUAAGGAGCUAUGACCAACCUAGACAGCAUAUUAAAAAGCAGAGACAUUAUUUUGCCAACAAAGGUCCGUCUAGUCAAAGCUAUGGUUUUUUCAGUAGUUAUGUAUGGAUGUGAGAGUUGGACUAUAAGGAAAGCUUAGCGCCAAAGAAUUGAUGCUUUUGAACUGUGGUGUUAGAGAAGACUCUUGAGAGUCCCUUGGACUGCAAGGAAAUCCAUCCAGUCAAUCCUAAAGGAAAUCAGUCCUGAAUAUUCUUUGGAAGGACUGAUGCUGAAGCUGAAGCUCCAGUACUUUGGCCACCUCAUGCAAAGAACUGACUCAUUGGAAAAGACCCUAAUGCUGGGAGAAAGAUUGAAGGCAGGAGGAGAAGGGGAUGACAGAGGAUGAUAUGGUUGGAUGGCAUCACUGACUCAAUGAGCAUAAGUUUGAGCAAGCUCUAGGAGUUAGUGAUGGACAGGGAAGCCUGGCGUGUUGUAGUCCAUGGGGUCGCAAAGAGUCAGACACGACGGAGCAACUGAACUGACUGAGGGAGUGAGGAUCACCAACUCAAUGAACAUGAGUUUGAACAAGCUCCAGGAGUUAGUGAUGGACAGGGAUGCCUGGCAAGCUGCAGCCCAUGGGGUUGUAAAGAGUUGGACACGACUUAGUGACUGAACAACAACCACAAUGAGAAAGAAAAGUAUCUGGCACCUCUCCAGUUGUUAUGCAAGAGCAGAUAUUAAUUUUCUGUUUCCUUCUUGAAUGGAUAUGUUACCUAUUUGGUGGCGUAACACACAAACACAUUCAUAUUAAGUAUCGAUACAUACCCUGAUGCUUUAAUCAAGGUACAUACUAAAUAAUUUGAAUUGGCAAAGGAAUUUUGGGAACAGAAUCUAACAUUAAGCUUGACAGGAAAUGAAUAUUUGGACAAGGAAUUCUGGAGCAUUCUACUAUGACAUACGCUCAGAUUAGAAUGUGAAAGUCACUCAGUCGUGCCUGACUCUUUGAAACCCCAUGGACUGUAUAGUCCAUGUAAUUCUCCAGGCCAGAAUAGUGGAAUGGGUAGCCUUUCCCUUCUCCAGGGCAUCUUCCCAACCCAGGGAUCAAACCCUGGUCUCCUUCAUUGCAGGCAGAUUCUUUACCGGUUAAGCCACAAGAUUUAGAAUAAGCCUACUCUAUUUCUCAAAUCAAUCUAGGGAUAUAAAACCAAACUUGUUAGAAUGAGAAUAUUAAAUUGAAAAUUUCUGUAUUAGGAUGGAAUUCAGACCUUCCAUGUAGAACUGUGGAAGUAUAGUCAGCAGUGACCUGGCAGAUCAAGGACCUGGCUUGAUGGAGGGAGAGUGGGAAAGUCUGACCCAGCAAGGACAGAAGGGCAGUUAGAAGAGCCCCGGAAAACAACUUCCCUUUCAAGCUGCUCUGGUAGUGGGCAUGCGCUUGCUUAUGCUAGAUUUGAGCUUUGUGUAGCAAUCAGGAUCAGAACAUAACACCCCGCUUUCCUUGCCCAUUCAGUUGCUGUUCUUGGGGUUUUGCAGGCUGCCUGCUCACGUGAGUCUCCGUUUUGUCCAUGCCUGGCAAUAGCUGCUUGGAACCUCGCCUCUGGCAGCUGAUGAUUUCAAGUAUCCAGACAUGUCACGAUGCUCUCCAGGAGAGGCAUCAGGCUGUCAUCAUCUAUUAGGCAGCCCCCAGCUGACACACAAGGGCUUUCACUGAGUGCCCUUCUCUCUCAGGCUUUUGAAUUGCAUCUUUUGAUAGGAGUUGAGAUAAGAAACAAGUUCAGAAUCCAAAUCAAGGUCUUCAGUUGCUUUCCUAGCCACUUGGCCUAAUUUCUUUAGGCACUUUUUUGCAGUUUGGGCCAAGUUUGCAUAGUUUUGACAAUUUCAAGACCUUAGAUGCAACCAUUGAUUUCUUCAGAAGGACUGAUCUGUGGGUCAUGAAAACUAAGCAGCUAGGCACUUUCUUCUCAUCCUUAUCAUUGCCAAGGAAAUGAAAAGACCACAAGUUUAAGUAAAUUAGGUGAAGCUAAUUUUCCUUACUCUGGAUCCAGCUCAAGCCCCCUUUCGUUCUUCAGCAGAAAAAUGUCAGGCAAUGGCAACCCACUCCAGUACUCUGGCCUGGAAAAUCCUAUGGGUGGAGGAGCCUGGUAGGCUGCAGGCCAUGAGGUUGCUAAGAGUUGGACAUAACUGAGCGACUUCACUUUCACUUUUCUCUUUCAUGCAUUGGAGAAGGAAAUGGCAACCCACUCCAGUGUUCUUGCCUGGAGAAUCCCAGGGAUGGGGGAGCCUGGUGGGCUGCUAUCUAUGGGGUCACACAGAGUUGGACACGACUGAAGUGACUUAGCAGCAGUAGCCGCAGCUGCCUCUGAGGUGUUUCUCUUGCCAUGAAUUAUGUGAGACAGCCAUACUCUGACUAGACUCUAAGACAAAUGACCUUAGCCUGUGGGAGUUAGGGAGUUUUACCCAGAUUUUUGCUUUCUGUUACUUUUCUAUUGACCUGUACACCUUUUAUAAUAACUAGGAUUCCAAUUUGUUAACAGUUUUGAUAAAAUGAUUUUUCUCUCCUGUUUUUUUCUUGGUGCCUCUAUCUUUGUUUCUUACAUAUGCAUGCUUCCAGAAUCAGAGCCAACAUGCCUGUACAGUGAGUAUUUAUAGAUAUAAUUUAUCCAUUAUGCCUUCUUUGGUAACCACAUCCCAAAUUGCUCUAGGAGCCAUGCCUUCCCCAAUUGCAGAGGUGGUGUAGAUGACCCAGUUUUUUUUUCUGACUUCAAACAACACAAAUUUAUCACUUCACAGUUUCUGUGGCAUAACCUUGUCUUAAGUCAUUCAUGUUUGCUAGCCCUUUACAUGGGUUCAAGGCUAGGCAUGUGACUCAAGCAGGUUCCAUCAGAGUGAGAAUAAAAGCUCUUUUGUAGACUCUGUCAAGAAACCUAGGUUUUAGUUCUUGCAAGCUAAGUUCUAAGGAAUUGUGUGGUAUGGAGCUGCAGCAACCAUUUAUGGGUGUUUGAAGGUGACUGUGUUAAAAAAUGUAGCUAAUAUAUACAGAGAAGAGGAGAGCUAAGUAGAGGUGACAGAUGCAGACCAUCUUGUGAAUUUGAAUUCACAACAAGGAUUCAUUUGACUCCUUCCAGGAAUCCAUGUCUUUAUCACUAUUAUUUUAUCGAAGUAUAGUUGGUUUACAAAGCUGUAUUAGUUUCUGGUAUGCAGCAAAGUGAUUCUGUUAUAUGUAGCUAUCUGAACCAUCUGUGUCUUAACCCUAAUCUGAGUCAGUUUAUUCUCUGCUUUGUUUUAACAAGUUUGUCUUAGACUUUUAGUACCUUGAAUUAAAAAAGAAAAGUAACUGAGCAUUUCAAUCUAGUGCUUGGACUUGGCUACUUGGUAACACAUCCUUCUUGAUAUCACCUGUUGCCUGGGUCUUUGGUUGACUUCACCCACCUUCACGCUUUCUGUGCUGGGUUCAUACCCUGUUGGAACAUCCUCAUGUUUCAUGUUCAGUCCUGAUGCUUUUUUAUAGUCUGAAUGCAGUUCUAAGAUAUAAUAACUGUGCUUUUCCCCUUGACUAUUUUAGGAAAGCUUAAUGAUUCAACAAAUAAGUGAUCUCUUCAAUAACUUUAAAAGUGGGGAGGCUUCAAGGAAUUUCACAUAUCUGACCCCUGGGUGCACAAAUAUAUUAAGUUCCAAGACACAUAUAAAAUGCCUACAGAUCUCAACAAGAAAAUGGGAUUCUUCUCUGCUAUCAGCUAAAGCUGCUGUGACCAUAAAACUAAAAAAUUACAUUUUUGUCUCCUUGCCUAUAAAGAAUGUCCACCAGAGCAGGUCCAAUAUCUUAUCUCUCUAUCCAGACAGUGCUUGUUGCUAAAUAUACAGAGCCUGAUUUUACAGUCUUCACUCAACUCUGGCUUUUACAAUUUUCAGUGGGCCGUUGAGGGGAAAUUCUUAUGAAAGGUUUAUAAAUGAUGUGCAAAUGGGCUAUAUUUUUGCAACUUGCAUUGUCACCCUGGAUCUUAUGAGAGUCUUUUGAGUAGAGUCAACCCAGUACAGGGGCUCUUAGAUGGCUCAGCUGUGUGCUCCAAGUCUGUAGGAUGGAGGAAAGAAAGAAUGACACCAUCACUUGGAUGGGAGUUUCUGACAUUGCAGGGGCAAAGAUCCUGAAGAUCAAAGGUACCCUUAAUCACAGAGCUUUGAAAGCUAUUUUCUGUCCACUCCAAAGCUCUCAAAGUGGACAGUAAAGAGGCUUUUCCCAUCUCUGCUGCAUCCUAGGAAAUGUGAUACAGCAAGAAAGACUCCAGGUUCUCAAUUUAGGGGGUGGGGAAUGUCACACAGCCCUUUGACAAGCAGACAAAAGUUAUGAAUAUUUUCACCAGAAAAAUAUCCAUAAAGAUACAUACAUAGAAUUUUGAAAAAUUAUGGUUUUAUUUUUUAAAAUGCAUUGUUCCAGAUAUAGACUGGCGAUUCAAUUCUUACAUGAUAGUAUACAUGUUAGAAUGCCAUUCUCCCAAAUCAUCCCACCCUCUCCCUCUCCCUCUGAGUCCAAAAGUCC